rnacentral:rRNA from 1 species
GAUGAACGCUGGCGGCGUGCCUAAUACAUGCAAGUCGAGCGAACAGACGAGGAGCUUGCUCCUCUGACGUUAGCGGCGGACGGGUGAGUAACACGUGGAUAACCUACCUAUAAGACUGGGAUAACUUCGGGAAACCGGAGCUAAUACCGGAUAAUAUAUUGAACCGCAUGGUUCAAUAGUGAAAGACGGUUUUGCUGUCACUUAUAGAUGGAUCCGCGCCGCAUUAGCUAGUUGGUAAGGUAACGGCUUACCAAGGCAACUAUGCAUAGCCGACCUGAGAGGGUGGUCGGCCACGCUGGAGCAGAGACACGGUCCAGACUCCUACGGGAGGCAGCAGUAGGGAAUCUUCCGCAAUGGGCGAAAGCAUGACGGAGCAACGGCGAGUGAGUGAUGAAGGUGUUCGGAUCGUAAAACUCUGUUAUUAGGUAAGAACAAAUGUGUAAGUAACUACGCACGGCUUGACGGUACCUAAUCAGAAAACCGCGGCUAAAUACGUG